AUUGAACGCUGGCGGCAUGCCUUACACAUGCAAGUCGAACGGCAGCACGGGUGCUUGCACCUGGUGGCGAGUGGCGAACGGGUGAGUAAUACAUCGGAACAUGUCCUGUAGUGGGGGAUAGCCCGGCGAAAGCCGGAUUAAUACCGCAUACGAUCUACGGAUGAAAGCGGGGGACCUUCUGGCCUCGCGCUAUAGGGUUGGCCGAUGGCUGAUUAGCUAGUUGGGGGGGUAAAGGCAUACCAAGGCGACGAUCAGUAGCUGGUCUGAGAGGACGACCAGCCACACUGGGACUGAGACACGGCCCAGACUCCUACGGGAGGCAGCAGUGGGGAAUUUUGGACAAUGGGCGAAAGCCUGAUCCAGCAAUGCCGCGUGUGUGAAGAAGGCCUUAGGGUUGUAAAGCACUUUUGUCCGGAAAGAAAUCCUUGGCCCUAAUACGGUCGGGGGAUGACGGUACCGGAAGAAUAAGCACCGGCUAACUACGUG
rnacentral:rRNA from 1 species